UCAGAUUGAACGCUGGCGGCAGGCCUAACACAUGCAAGUCGAACGGUAACAGGAAGAAGCUUGCUUCUUGCUGACGAGUGGCGGACGGGUGAGUAAUGUCUGGGAAACUGCCUGAUGAGGGGGAUAACCACUGGAAACGGUAGCUAAUACCGCAUAACGUCGCAAGACCAAAGAGGGGGACCUUCGGGCCUCUUGCCAUCGGAUGUGCCCAGAUGGGAUUAGCUUGUUGGUGGGGUAACGGCUCACCAAGGCGACGAUCCCUAGCUGGUCUGAGAGGAUGACCAGCCACACUGGAACUGAGACACGGUCCAGACUCCUACGGGAGGCAGCAGUGGGGAAUAUUGCACAAUGGGCGCAAGCCUGAUGCAGCCAUGCCGCGUGUAUGAAGAAGGCCUUCGGGUUGUAAAGUACUUUCAGCGGGGAGGAAGGGAGUAGAGUUAAUACCUUUGCUCAUUGACGUUACCCGCAGAAGAAGCACCGGCUAACUCCGUGCCAGCCGCAGC
rnacentral:rRNA from 1 species